AAUGUUUGAAAUUUAUUAAGUAAAACUUACAAAAUUUCACAAACUGGAUAUUCAACCAAAUUCUUUUUAAUUAACUAGUAUUACAUAUUCAAUCUUAAUGUUUUUAUAAAAAUGAUAAGAAACUUGGAGUUUUUGGAAAAGUGCUAGUUAUAUUUGUUUUAAAAAUGCUUUUAACUGGAGGAUUAACCAGAAGAAAUUAUCACCAUCAUAUUACUAUACUAUAUAGUUGCCUUCUAAGUAUAAUUCUCUACAUUAAUUUUGAAUUUCUUUAAAUAUAGGAUAGUGAAGUUUUUAUUACUGAUAAAAAGACUGAUAAUUCAGAGGUUUUCUGGAAUCCAACACCUGACAUUAAGCAAUGGAGAUUAAUAAGGCACACUGUAAAAUUUGAAGAACAGGGAGAUUUUGAAUCAGAGAAACUCUGGCAACGGGUAACUCGAGCCAUAAAUGCCAAAGACCAAACUGAAGCUACCCAAGAGAAGUAUGUUUUGGAAGAAGCUCAAAGACAAGCUGCCAGGGAUCGGAAAAUAAAAAAUGAAGAGUGGUCUUGCAAAUUAUUUGAACUUGAUCCACUCACAGGAGAAUGGCAUUACAAGUUUGCAGAUACCCGACCAUGGGACCCACUUAAUGAUAUGAUACAGUUUGAAAAAGAUGGUGUUAUUCAGACCAAAGUGAAACAUCGUACUC
rnacentral:sRNA from 1 species